rnacentral:sRNA from 1 species
AAUGGUACAGGCAGCAUCACGCUGCACAAUGGUUUCCAGGCAGUGAAAGAGGGUGAUUCAGCAAGCCACUCUUCUUCUAUUUUCUUUAACCUCCCCUUCACUUUUUAUUUUUAUGGGGGUGGGUGGUGCUUGCUAUAUGCUUACCUUUUUCUUUUCUUUUUUCAUUUUUACAAAUUUCCUUUUUUGUCCUCACCCCUCAAUUCCUAGGGGCUUGAGUGAGUUUAAGAUUGGGUUUUCUUGGAAAUCACCUGUCCAUCGUUAAUUUUAAACAAUCUCCAUAUCUCCAAAGAAUCUCUUCCAUGUUAGUCUGGAAUGUGGUUAAUGAAAAACAAGUAGGGAGGAUUUCUGGGGCAAACACUGCCGGAUCAGGAUCGUAGUUCUCAGGCACGGAAUGGCUAGUGUGAGAAACACCAACGGCAGGCCCAUCUCAGAUCUUCACUAUGGCAACUUAUGCAAGAAACUGUUGAAUUAGACCCGUUUCCUAUAGAUGAGAAACCAUACAAGCUGUGGUAUUUAUGAGCCUCCAUUUCUUAUACUACUGCAGUGAACCAACAUUGGAUGUGAAAAUUGCCUUUUGUCAGGUGUGUGUUCCUUACAGGUAAAACAAGGUACAGUAUAUUCCCUUGUAUUUCCACUUUGACAUACCAUUUGCAUACAUUGCACACCAAAGUCAGUAUUUAUAUCAUAUUAACAGUAGUUUAGAAUUAGGAGCUGGCAAGACGGCUGAAUAGAAACAGCCCCAGUCUCCAGCUCCCAGCGAGAUCAACGCAGAAGAUGAGUGAUUUCUGCAUUUCCACAUGAGGUACCUGGUUCCUCUCACUGGGAAAGGUUAGAGAGUGGGUGCAGCCCACAGAGGGCGAGCUGAAGCAGGGUGGGGCGUCGCCUCACCCAGGAAGUGCAAGGGGUCAGGGAACUCCCUCUCCUAGCCAAGGGAAGCCAUGAGGGACUGUGCCGUGAGGAACGGUGCACUCUGGCCCAGAUGCUACACUUUUUCGAUGGUCUUCGCAACCUGCAGAUUCCCUCAGGUGUCUACACCGCAAGGGUCCUGGGUUUCAAGCACAAAAUGGGCGGCCGUUUGGGCAGACACCAAGCUAGCUACAAGAGAUUCUUUUCAUACCCCAGUGGUGCUUGGAACACCAGCGAGACAGAACCAUUCACCCUCCCUGGAAAGGGGGCUGAAGCCAGGGAGCCAAGUGGUCUAGCUUAGGGGAUCCCACCCCCAUGGAGCCCAGCAAGCUAAGAUCCACUGGCUUGAAAAUUCUCACUGACAGCACAGCAGUAUGAAGUCGACCUGGGAUGCUCAAGCUUGGUUGCGGGGAGGGGCGUCUGCCAUUACUGAGGCUUGAGUAGACGGUUUUCCCCUCACAGUGUAAACAAAGAUGCUGGAAAGUUCGAACUGGGCAGAGGCCACCACAGCUCAGCAAAGCCAGUGUAGCCAGACUGCCUCUCUAGAUUCCGCCUCUCUGGGCAGGGCAUCUCUGAAAGAAAGGCAGCAGCCUUAGUCAGCGACUUAUAGAUGAAACUCCUAUCUCCCUGGGACAGAGUACCUGGGUGAAGGGGCAGCUGUGGGCACAGCUUCAGCAGACUUAAAUGUUCCUGCCUGCCAGCUCUGAAGGGAGCAGCAGAUCUCCCAGCACAGCAAUCAAGCUCUGCUAAGGGACAGACUAUCUCCUCAAGUGGGUCCCUGACCCCACACCUCCCAGCAAGGGUCGACAGACACCUCAUACAGGAGAGCUCCAGCUGGCAUCUGGCAGGUGCCCCUCUGAAAAAAGCUUCCAGAGGAAGGAACAGAUGCAAUCUUUGCUAUUCUGCAGUCUCUGCUGGUGAUACUCAGGAAAACAGGAUCUGGAGUGGACCUCCAGCAAACUCCAGCAGAGCUGCAGCAGAGGGGCCUGUUAGAAGGAAAACUAACAAACAGAAAGGAAUAGCAUCAACAUCAACAAAAAGGACAUUCACACAAAAACCCCAUCUGAAGGUCAUCAGCAUCAAAAACCAAAGGUAGAUAAAUCCACAAAGAUGAGGAAAAACCAGCACAAAAAGGCUGAAAAUUCCAAAAGCCAGAAUGCCUCUUCUCCUCCAAAGGAUCACAACUCCUCGCCAGCAAGGGAACAAAGCUGGAUGGAGAAUGAGUUUGACAAAUUGACAGAAGUAGGCUUCAGAAGGUGGGUAAAAACAAACUCCUCCAAGCUAAAGGAGCAUGUUCUAACUCAAUGCGAGGGAGUUAAGAACCUUGAAAAAAGGUUAAAGGAAUUCCUAACUAGAAUAACCAGUUUAGAGAAGAACAUAAAUGACCUGAUGGAGCUGAAACACGCAGCAUGAGAACUUCGUGAAGCAUACACAAGUAUCAAUAGCCAAAUCCAUCAAGCGGAAGAAAGGAUAUCAGAGAUUGAAGAUCAACUUAAUGAAAUAAAGUGUGAAGACAAGAUUAGAGAAAAAAGAAUGAAAAAGAAUGAACAAAGCCUCCAAGAAAUAUAGGACUAUGUGAAAAGACCAAACCUAUGUUUGAUUGAUGUACCUGAAAGUAACAGGGAGAAUGGAACCAAGUUGAAAAACACUCUUUAGGAUAUUAUCCAGGAGAACUUCCCCAACCUAGCAAGAGAGGCCAACAUUCAUAUCCAGGAAAUACAGAAAACACCACAGAGAUACUCCUUGAGAAGACCAACCCCAAGAUAUAUAAUCGUCAGAUUCACCAAGGUUAAAAUGAAGGAAAAAAUGGUAAGGGCAGCCAGAGAGAAAGGUUGGGUUACCCAUAAAGGGAAGCUGAUCAGACUAACAGCAAAUAUCUCUGCAGAAACCCUACAAGCCAGAAGAGAGUGGGGGGCAAUAUUCGACAUUCUUAAAGAAAAGAAUUUUCAACCCAGAAUUUCAUAUCCAGCCAAAUUAAGCUUCAUAAGUGAAGGAGAAAUAAAAUCCUUUACAGACAAGCAAAUGCUGAGAGAUUCUGUCACCACCAGGCCUGCCUUACAAGAGCUCCUGAAGAGAGCACUAAAUACAGAAAGGAACAAUUGGUACCAGCCACUGAAAAAACAUCCCAAAUUGUAAAGACCAUCGACACUAUGAAGAAACUGCAUCAACUAAUGGGCAAAAUAACCAGCUGACAUCAUAAUGAUAGGAUCACAUUCACACAUAACAAUAUUAACCUUAAAGGUAAAUGGGCUAAAUGCCCCAAUCAAAAGACACAGACUGGCAAAUUGGAUCAAGUUAAAAUUGGAUAGAGUCAAGACCCAUCGGUGUGCUGUAUUCAGGAGACCCAUCUCACAUGCAAAGACACAUGUAGGCUCAAAAUAAUGGGAUGGAGGAGUAGUUACUAAACAAAUGG